GAUGAAGAACGCAGCGAAAUGCGAUAAGUAAUGCGAAUUGCAGAAUUUCCGUGAGUCAUCGAAUCUUUGAACGCACAUUGCGCCCACUGGUAUUCCGGUGGGCAUGCCUGUUCGAGCGUCAUUAUCCUCCCUCAAACCUCGGGUUUGGUGUUGGACCCAAGUUGUGUGAACAACUGGUCUCAAAGACAAUGACGGCGUCCGUGGGACCCUCGGUGCAACGAGCUUUUAAACGAGCACGCGUCGAGUUUCAAGGACCUUCCGGGCCGGUCUCCUUCUUUUAUUUACAAAGGUUGACCUCGGAUCAGGUAGGAAUACCCGCUAAACUUAAGCAUAUCAAUAAGCGGAGGA
rnacentral:misc_RNA from 1 species